rnacentral:lncRNA from 1 species
AAGAAUUCAAACCCAGGCAGCCUAGCUCUGCUGUCUCUGGAAGAGCCGAAUUAGCAGGGAUGCCCUCCUACAGAUCCUGAGUCCUUCAGAUAAAACAGUAUCUGGGUCAAGGGAAGCUGGGGAUCGUGACGUCAGCACCUAUGCUUGGUUGGUAAAUCCCUCUUUCUAGGGUCACAACCACAACACAUACGCGUUUAUGCUUAGGCCUAAGAUGUGUCCCUGAAAUCACUGUCAACUGAACCAUGUUUUAAAUGUUGUGGGGGCUGUUGCUACUGAAAAGAACCCUGCUGUGAACGCUUGUACAAAGCAAAGAAUCUAUUUUUAUAAAUUUAGAUCUGGAGAUUUUAAAAAAUGCAAAUAUGAUACAUACAAUUCAGUAUUUAUGCAGUCAGAAGAGACAAAGGAAUAAGUAUCUUCCCAUACAAGGAAAAAAAUUAACAUUUAAUUCAGUACCUUCUGUGGACCCUGGGGAGAUGCUGGGGUCUUCCACAGCCUUAUCUCAUUUAGUCUUUACAGUGCCCUUCUGGGGGCAGGGGGAGGCAUGGAUCCUAACAAACUAGAGGACCCAGGCUCAGGUGAGGCAGAACGCUUAGCAGGAGGUAAUGACUUUCAGUUUGCCGCCUCCAAAGCCCAUGUUUUCUCCAGUGUGCAACAUGAGCUUUAAAAUCUAGGUGUUUAUAAUCUGGUGGAACCCCUGGAGGAUGGCUUGGGCUGUUCUGUCCUACAGACCUGUGGCUCUCAGCAUCCAUUCUACGCCUCACAUGGGCAGCCCUGCUGAAGAAAAUCACCAAACUGUGUGUUGAUGCCACCAUCCAUUGGUGGUCCACUCACUCAGGAGCCUUUGGUUUGUCAGUCCUUCCCCCUGCCUUUCUGGCCUUUGUCCCUCAGUGGCUACUCCAUUCUUUAAAAAAUCUACCCAGUCUCUGCCUCCUGCUUCAUACUUACGGAUCUCUUUUCUCAGUAAACUCACCCAACUUGCACCCUCCCACUGCAGAACCUCAUCAGUGUGGGGACCCAUUUCCUCCAGGCUCACAGUGGGAUCGUCCCUUCUGCUUUCUUGGGACCUGCUUGCAUCAGUUAUCACUGCUGCACCUUCAGCCUUCCCCUGAGUUCCUUUCCCUCAGCAGGUCAAGCUCUCAUUUCAUCAGAAGAAAAUCUCCCGUGACCUUGAACUUCCUCCACUUAUCCUCAACCUCUCUCCCUCACAUCUCAGCCAAGGAUCUCAAAACCACAAGCUGCAUGCACCCUGUCUCCCUUUCUUCCUCUCAUUCUCUCCCUCACUUAGGGUACUUGCUUUUUCUGUGGCCUCUGAAACUUCUCUCCUCAGGGAAGGCCUCUUAAUUACCAAAUUUUGCAUUUACCUUCAUUGUAUCUGAACUAUGUGCAAAAUUUGGCACUGUAAGGCUAUGACUCGCCUGGUUUUUCCCUCCCUGGGCUUUUCUCUUCAUCUACUUUCCUCUGGUCAUGCCUAAAUAGUGCUCAUCCUGCUCUCCCACCCAGCUAUCUUCCAUCCCAACUGUUGACCACUGCCUCUGGGCUCAAGACUCUCAAAUUGGUAUGACCAGCCAAGGCCUCUGCUGAGUGCCAGCUGGGAGAUUCAUUUGCUCACUAGGCAGCUCCUCGUGGAGGUCCCAUUGGUACCUCAGUUUCCUCUCUCCUGACUAAAGAGACUUUUAGUCUGUUUCAUGAUUAAUCCAAUUUAUCACAUCUGAAAUCUUGGAUUCAUUCAAGAGGCCUCUCAUUUUUUUUUUUUUUUUUUUUUUUUGAGACAGAGUCUCCCUCUGUUGCCCAGACUGGAGUGCAGUGGCGUGAUCUCGGCUCACUGCAACCUCCCUGCCUCCCAAGUUCAAGUGAUUCUCUUGCCUCAGCCUCUGAGUAGUUGGGAUUACAGGCGCCCACCACCAUGCCCAGCUAAUUUUUGUAUUUUUAGUAGAGACGGGGUUUCACCAUGUUGGCCAAGCUGGUCUCAAUCUCCUGACCUCGUGAUCUGCCCGCCUCGGCCCCCCAAAGUGCUGGGAUUACAGGCAUGAGCCACCGCGCCCGGCCAAGAGGCCUCUCCCACAUCCAGGCGCUCACAAAGGCCUAUCACUUAGGCCUGAUGAACACUUCUGAUUCCUGGUGACGCCUCUAUCUCCACUGUCUUUACUUGUUAUUGGGCUCUUAAGGUCUUCCUGUCUCUAGUUUGAUCUAAGCCACACCUUUGAAAGAACGAUCUUUCUGAAGUACAAAAUUACCAAUAUAUUUCACCAGUGCUUAAAACUCUUUAUUGGCUUCCUGUCUUCUACAGAUGAAAAUCUGUUUCUAGCCAGGCAAGGUGGUGUGUGCCUUUAGUCCCAGUUACUCGAGAGGAUGAGGCCGGGAGUUCAAAGCUGCAGUGAGCUACAAUCACGCCACUGCACUCCAGCCUAGGUGACAGGCGAGACCUCAUCUUUAAAAAGUAAAAAUUUACAUAGGAAGUUGUUUUAUGCCUUUGCAUAAGGUUUGUGUUAACUUUCAGCAAGAAAUUCCCUUUCUCUCCCUUGUCUGGCAUAUCACUCUUCAUCCUUCAAAACCCAGCUCUGGGGCAGGAGUGGUGACUUAUGCCUGUAAUACCGUCACUUUGGGGAGCUGGGGCGGGAGGACAGCUUGAGACUAGCCUGGGCAACACGGUGAGACCCCUGUCUCUACAAGUAAAAAAAAUUAGCCGGUGUGGUGGCAUGCGCCUGUGGUUCCUGGUACUCUGGAAGCUGAAGCUGAGGCAGUAGGAUCGCUUGAGCCCAGGAGGUCGAGGCUGCAGUGAGCCAGGACUGAGCCACUGCACUCCAGCCUGGGCAACAGAGCAAGACCUUGUCUCAAAAAAACAAAAGGUCAGCUCAGGUAUCUCCUCAUGGAAACCCUUCUUCACAUCCAGAGGUGGUCGGCUUCCUUCUCUAUUCUAACCCUGGGCUUUGUACACAGGUCUGCAUCCCCUCCUAGCAUCUGUGAGCUUCUCUCAGGGAAAAGCUCAUUGAUCUGCAUCCCCAAGACCUGCUGGGGAAGAAUCUAUCCAUCUAAACUCGCUUUAAUUUGACAAAUGAAUCAGUUAAGAGUAGGAAAGCUGCCUAUGGGCACUGCUCAAUGCAACGUGAGCAACAAAGGGAGACAGAACUGAGGCCAGAAAGGUGAGGGGGGACAGAGGCUGGCAGGGAGGGGAGCUUGUCAGUGCAGACUCCAGGAAGAAUCUAUACAGAAAGUUACUGAGCGGCCUGAGUCCCCCAAGUGAGGGCUCGGGACAAUCUCCCGCCUGGGUGAGAGAAUAGGGAGACCCUGAAACGUCUCUGCAGCCUCGGGCUGCUCCAGAAGCGCCCACAGCUGCAGGGUUUUGGUGUGGAUGGGACCUGCUGACAGGGAUGCGGUGGGAAGAGCCCCUCGGCGCCCGUUCUCCCAGGCUUCCCCUUGGCCAAGGGUGCUCCUAGCACAGGG